AACGAACGCUGGCGGCAGGCUUAACACAUGCAAGUCGAACGGGUGUAGCAACACAUCAGUGGCAGACGGGUGAGUAACACGUGGGAACCUUCCUAGGGGUACGGAACAACUCAGGGAAACUUGAGCUAAUACCGUAUACGUCCGUGAGGAGAAAGAUUUAUCGCCCUUAGACGGGCCCGCGUCGGAUUAGGUAGUUGGUGGGGUAACGGCCUACCAAGCCUACGAUCCGUAGCUGAUCUUAGAGGAUGAUCAGCCACACUGGGACUGAGACACGGCCCAGACUCCUACGGGAGGCAGCAGUGGGGAAUCUUGGACAAUGGGCGCAAGCCUGAUCCAGCCAUGCCGCGUGAGUGAAGAAGGCCUUAGGGUUGUAAAGCUCUUUUACCAGGGACGAUAAUGACGGUACCUGGAGAGUAAGCCCCGGCAAACUUCGUGCCAGCCGCCGCAGUAAAAC
rnacentral:rRNA from 1 species